rnacentral:rRNA from 1 species
CCUACGGGAGGCAGCAGGGGGGAAUAUUGGACAAUGGGGGCAACCCUGAUCCAGCCAUGCCGCGUGUGUGAAGAAGGCCCUCGGGUUGUAAAGCACUUUCAGUGAGGAAGAACGCCUGGUGGUUAAUACCCAUCAGGAAAGACAUCACUCACAGAAGAAGCACCGGCUAACUCCGUGCCAGCAGCCGCGGUAAUACGGAGGGUGUGAGCGUUAAUCGGAAUUACUGGGCGUAAAGCGCGCGUAGGUGGCUUGAUAAGCCGGUUGUGAAAGCCCCGGGCUCAACCUGGGAACGGCAUCCGGAACUGUCAAGCUAGAGUGCAGGAGAGGAAGGUAGAAUUCCCGGUGUAGCGGUGAAAUGCGUAGAGAUCGGGAGGAAUACCAGUGGCGAAGGCGGCCUUCUGGACUGACACUGACACUGAGGUGCGAAAGCGUGGGUAGCAAACAGGAUUAGAUACCCCGGUAGUC